rnacentral:lncRNA from 1 species
CAAAGAUUUAAUCGUUCCCAUGCUUAAAGACAAUAUGCUUUUUAAUGCCUAGCAGUACCACCUUGGGAGGCAUUUUAAUGCCAAUUACAGCUUUCAUUCCUCAGCACUGCCCCAACCCCCCUUUUCCCAUCACAAACCCUGACGCAAUGAGCCCAUCAGAGCAGGGCCAGCCCUGAAAUCUCCACUUCUCCAGCGAGACCGGCCCCGAUUGUGCUCCCAGACUCUCUUGUGAUGUUAAGGGCGAUAGAUAAAAAUAGCUCGGGCUCCAUUGUUGUGCUAUUUAUACGCCGAGAAGUCAGCAGCACAAAGGCGAGCAGCCCCGGGGCUGUGCGGAGCUGACCCUGCUCCCCGCCCGCCCUGGGGGCGCAGGACCCGGGCAGGGAAAUCGGGAUGCUGAGAGAUAAAGAAGCUUUUCAAAAGCCCAGAGAGCAGCUCAGCCUGCAGAUCCGGGUGACAAGCUUCAGUAAACAAAGCCAAAGUGAGUUGAAGAUGGAACAUCUGAGAUCUUAAACUUAUGGCUCUUCAAGGACAUGGGAAUAACCAGAAGAUACAGAGAAGAUGGAGGCCUGGAAAUUGGAAAGACUUCCCAUCUGAGAAAAAGGCUUCACGCUCUCCUGUUGACAGCUGUCCCACCUCUGCUCACCAUCCACCCCUCACACCUGGAUUUGGGGUGCCCUGCCAUGGUGUCACCCCUGUCCCCAGCAAGGUGAUGCACACCGAGAUGCCACCCCACUGUGGUGGACCAGGAUUAAAGGAAUAAUAAAAAUUAAUCUGCUGAACAGGAGAUACUUUCCUUCGUGUGCAGUCCCUAGGGAGCUGGGAGGACUAGCAGCAGGAUUACAAAAAACUCCUGGGUAGUUUAUAAAACAAAAGAGAUUCUUUAGUGUCUGCAAUACCCAGCACAGCAGCCUCCAAACAAACCCCCAGCCUUGUGCUGCCAGCGUGUAAGGAGAGUGAGGAUGUCUGAGAUUUACAGGAGUGACAAGGGGAUUUUUUCCUUUU